GAGUGCUGGUAGCCAUGCACUAGUGUUGGUAGCUACUCCCCCCGUGGGGGUGGUUUUUUACAGCACUGCGAGAGCUCUGUCCCAGCACUCUGCCGUGACUACACAGCCACCUUCAAGCGUUGCCGUGGCAGCACUUUAACGUUGGGUAGUGAAGACAUACCCAAAGUGAGCAAAGCAAAACUGAACAGACAUUAUAGGAAGUACCAGUAACCCAGGGCAGUGAAUUUAGACUCC